GAGGACCGUAUUCAUGGAAGAGGAUUGAACGGACUACUGAGUUCUUAAGAGAAAAAUGGCACUUAAGAAAUUGAUGGUGAUAUCAAAGGAAGGUUACUUAUUACUCUUGGACUUUGAUGAUGAGGACGAUGACAUAAAAGUUUCAGAGGAGGCUCUUGCGGAAGAGAUGAAGUAGACAGUAUGUUGGAUAAAUCUGGAGUAAAGAACCCAGCAAUUGGUAAAGAUGAGAAUAUAUCGCCUCAAGUAAAAGGAGAUGAAGACAUGGGAGAUGAAAUUGACAGUAUGUUGGCUACAUCUGGAGGUCUUUUCUCCUGAGAACACGGGACUCCAGCAUCUUCGGAUUCUGCUCUUGGAGCACCUCUUCUUGGCGAAUCCUUGCCCACCUGUACCCAGAACCCAAGUUAUGCCCAUGGAUCGAUGACCUAAGUGAGCUGCAUCAUUGGACUGAAAGUGAAUGGCCCAUGUGUUGCCACUGAUGUGUGCCAUUUGCCUGUUGUGCUUCAA
rnacentral:precursor_RNA from 1 species